AUGGCUGGCGGAGCUACCAUGCAGUCGAGCGGUAACAGAUCCAGCUUGCUGGAUGCUGACGAGCGGCGGACGGGUGAGUAAUGCAUAGGAAUCUGCCCGAUAGUGGGGGAUAACCUGGGGAAACCCAGGCUAAUACCGCAUACGUCCUACGGGAGAAAGGGGGCUUCGGCUCCCGCUAUCGGAUGAGCCUAUGUCGGAUUAGCUAGUUGGUGAGGUAACGGCUCACCAAGGCCACGAUCCGUAGCUGGUCUGAGAGGAUGAUCAGCCACAUCGGGACUGAGACACGGCCCGAACUCCUACGGGAGGCAGCAGUGGGGAAUAUUGGACAAUGGGGGGAACCCUGAUCCAGCCAUGCCGCGUGUGUGAAGAAGGCCCUCGGGUUGUAAAGCACUUUCAGCGAGGAAGAACGCCUAGCGGUUAAUACCCGCUAGGAAAGACAUCACUCGCAGAAGAAGCACCGGCUAACUCCGUGCCAGCAGCCGCGGUAAUACGGAGGGUGCAAGCGUUAAUCGGAAUUACUGGGCGUAAAGCGCGCGUAGGUGGCUUGAUAAGCCGGUUGUGAAAGCCCCGGGCUCAACCUGGGAACGGCAUCCGGAACUGUCAAGCUAGAGUGCAGGAGAGGAAGGUAGAAUUCCCGGUGUAGCGGUGAAAUGCGUAGAGAUCGGGAGGAAUACCAGUGGCGAAGGCGGCCUUCUGGACUGACACUGACACUGAGGUGCGAAAGCGUGGGUAGCAAACAGGAUUAGAUAUCUUGGUAGUC
rnacentral:rRNA from 1 species